rnacentral:misc_RNA from 1 species
GCAAACUUGGUCAUUUAGAGGAAGUAAAAGUCGUAACAAGGUUUCCGUAGGUGAACCUGCGGAAGGAUCAUUCAUAAUAAAAGUGAAAUAAUUAUGGCACUUUUAAAACAAUCCAUAUCCACCUUGUGUGCAAUGUUUUCUUUUUUUAUAUUAACUCUUUUAAAUACAAAAAUUAUCUGAAAUUAUUUUAUGAAUACUUAAUUCAAAAAAUAUAACUUUCAACAACGGAUCUCUUGGCUCUCGCAUCGAUGAAGAACGCAGC